CACUUUACAGAGGGAGGACGCACAUAAUGGAAGUGAUACGAUUUUGCCAAACCGAUUCGCUACAUACCGGACAGACCAGGUCACUACAAUCUGCAUAGACAAAAUGGCUGAUCCAAUGGAUGCGAGCUCACAAAUACAUAAUGGUGCAGGUGAACGACAGAGGCACAGAGGACAUAAUGCGAACCAAGCAUUGGAGAUUGUUGACGAAGUGGACGUAAACAGGU